rnacentral:lncRNA from 1 species
UGUUGUUUCCUUAACAUUUUAGAAAUUAAUAGGGCUGCCUGGUGGCUCAGCGGUUGAGCAUUUGCCUUCAGCACAGGUCUUGAUCUUGGAGUCCCUGCGAGGAGCCUGCUCCUCCCUCUGCCUGUGUCUGCCUCUCUCUCUGUGUCUCUCAUGAAUAAAUAAAUAAUAUCUUUAGAAAAAAAUUAAUACAUCAAAAAGGUUAAGAAACAUUAUCAACUUUACACAACUACUAAGAAGGAAACUGGGACUAAAUUUUCAUCCAGUGCUAUUGAAAUCAUCUUGUCUAUUUAUUAGUUUCCAUAUUUAUUGUCUGUCACGCCCACCAGAAUAUAGGUCUCAUGGGGACUAGGAGCCUUGAUUUCUGCCAAUGAGGUUGUUUUUGAGAGUUUUCUCCAAUCAACCUCCUGCGAGGAAGCUUUGUCUCAAGAUCUGCUUUCUGGUGAAGCUGACCCGAGACAUCUCUGACUAUAUGCCCACAACUGCUGUGACAAAACACAGAUACUUGACUGAAGCUCAGUUAUCAGUACUGAGCAGAGAACUGAAAAUAAAUGCCUACUGAUAAGAAGUCAGUGCCAUCAUUCCAAAUGCAUUAGCUGGUCUUCAGAUUAUAAUUUCAAUGUUUGUAAAUAAAUACUUGG